rnacentral:rRNA from 1 species
GAUGAACGCGGGCGGCGUGCCUAAUACAUGCAAGUCGAGCGAGAUGUUAGCGCAUGAACCUUCGGGGGAUUAUGCUAACGGACAGCGGCGGACGGGUGAGUAACGCGUAGGCAACCUGCCCCUGACAGAGGGAUAGCCAUUGGAAACGAUGAUUAAAACCUCAUGACACCGUAGAAGCACAUGCUUCAUCGGUCAAAGAUUUAUCGGUCAGGGAUGGGCCUGCGUCUGAUUAACUAGUUGGUGAGGUAACGGCUCACCAAGGUGACGAUCAGUAGCCGACCUGAGAGGGUGAUCGGCCACAUUGGAACUGAGACACGGUCCAAACUUCUACGGAAGGCAGCAGUAGGGAAUCUUGCACAAUGGGCGAAAGCCUGAUGCAGCAACGCCGCGUGAAGGAUGAAGGCCUUCGGGUUGUAAACUUCUGUUCUAAGGGAAGAAACAAAUGACGGUACCUUAGGAGCAAGCCCCGGCUAACUACGUGCCAGCAGCCGCGGUAAUACGUAGGGGGCAAGCGUUAUCCGGAAUUAUUGGGCGUAAAGAGUGCGUAGGUGGUUACCUAAGCGCAAGGUUUAAUUUAGAGGCUCAACCUCUACUUGCCUUGCGAACUGGGCUACUUGAGUGCAGGAGGGGAAAGCGGAAUUCCUAGUGUAGCGGUGAAAUGCGUAGAUAUUAGGAGGAACACCAGCGGCGAAGGCGGCUUUCUGGACUGUAACUGACACUGAGGCACGAAAGCGUGGGUAGCAAACAGG